AUUGAACGCUGGCGGCAGGCCUAACACAUGCAAGUCGAGCGGUAGAGAGGUGCUUGCAUCUCUUGAGAGCGGCGGACGGGUGAGUAAUGCCUAGGAAUCUGCCUGGUGGUGGGGGAUAACGUUCGGAAACGGACGCUAAUACCGCAUACGUCCUACGGGAGAAAGCGGGGGGAUCUUCGGACCUCGCGCCAUUAGAUGAGCCUAGGUCGGAUUAGCUAGUUGGUGAGGUAAUGGCUCACCAAGGCGACGAUCCGUAACUGGUCUGAGAGGAUGAUCAGUCACACUGGAACUGAGACACGGUCCAGACUCCUACGGGAGGCAGCAGUGGGGAAUAUUGGACAAAUGGGCGAAAGCCUGAUCCAGCCAUGCCGCGUGUGUGAAGAAGGUCUUCGGAUUGUAAAGCACUUUAAGUUGGGAGGAAGGGUAGGUAACCUAAUACGUUGCUACUUGACGUUACCGACAGAAUAAGACACCGGCUAACUUCGUGCCAG
rnacentral:rRNA from 1 species